rnacentral:lncRNA from 1 species
UUCAUAUGAAGUUUCUGAACCUCCACUUUGGCCCUUAGGGAGAAACAGCCCGGAAAUAAGAUCUGGACGAUGACACUUCCAACCCAGCCCACGACCUCUGCCUUGAAACAUGAUGAGUCAACCAGGAGGAGAGGAGGUGGAGUAAAGCAGAUGGACUAGAUGAGGAAUAUGGUGACGAAUGAGCUGGUGGGAAGAAGUUGCUGAACUGAGAUCCCACUGCCAUUCAGCCAUGACGGAGGACGUGUUUUCAGACACAACCCAGUCCUCCGGCCAACUUGCUGGCAUUGCAGAAGGAAGAGGAGGAAGAGGAGGAGGAGAGGCCUGUGCUGGUGGCUGCUCUGGCUGCGGCAGCUGUGGAAGCCCUGCUAAUAUGAUAACUUCCUUAUCUCAGAAAACUAAAGUGGCUCCAACAAGGGAAACAGGGUGGGACAAUCCAGGAGAAGACAGCUGA